rnacentral:rRNA from 1 species
AACGAACGCUGGCGGCAGGCUUAACACAUGCAAGUCGAACGCCCCGCAAGGGGAGUGGCCGACGGGUGAGUAACGCGUGGGAAUCUACCCAGUUCUACGGAACAACUGAGGGAAACUUCAGCUAAUACCGUAUACGCCCUACGGGGGAAAGAUUUAUUGGAAUUGGAUGAGCCCGCGUUGGAUUAGCUAGUUGGUGAGGUAACGGCUCACCAAGGCGACGAUCCAUAGCUGGUCUGAGAGGAUGAUCAGCCACACUGGGACUGAGACACGGCCCAGACUCCUACGGGAGGCAGCAGUGGGGAAUAUUGGACAAUGGGCGCAAGCCUGAUCCAGCCAUGCCGCGUGAGUGAUGAAGGCCUUAGGGUUGUAAAGCUCUUUCAGUGGGGACGAUAAUGACGGUACCCACAGAAGAAGCCCCGGCUAACUUCGUGCCAGCCGCCGCCGUAAAAC